UUUCCCUCAGAAUAGCUGGCGCUCUCACAGGAAACAGUUUUAUCUGGUAAAGCGAAUGAUUAGAGGUCUUGGGGCUGAAACGAUCUCAACCUAUUCUCAAACUUUAAAUGGGUAAGAAGCCCGGCUCGUUGGCGUGGGGCCGGGCGUGGAAUGGGGGUGCCUAGUGGGCCACUUUUGGUAAGCAGAACUGGCACUGCAGGAUGAAUGGAAUGCCAGGUUAAGGCGCCCGAUGCAAGAUGGAUUAUCUAGAAGAUUCAUAGUGCUCUUCUAUGACUGUUUCCCUUUUAUUGCUGAUGUUUUGGUAAUCAA
rnacentral:ncRNA from 1 species